rnacentral:rRNA from 1 species
UACGAAGGGGGCUAGCGUUGUUCGGAAUUACUGGGCGUAAAGGGCGCGCAGGCAGCCCUCCAAGUCAGGCGUGAAAGCCCCCGGGCUCAACCCGGGAAUAGCGCUUGAGACUGGGGGGCGUUGAGUUCGGGAGAGGAGAGUGGAAUUCCCAGUGUAGAGGUGAAAUUCGUAGAUAUUGGGAAGAACACCGGUGGCGAAGGCGGCUCUCUGGACCGACACUGACGCUGAGGCGCGAAAGCGUGGGGAGCAAAACAGG